AUGCUCACUUCGGCAGCACAUAAACUAAAACCGGAACAAUACAGAGAUUAGCAUGGCCCUGCGUAAGGAUGACACGCAAAUUCGUGAAGCAUUCCGUAUUUUU
rnacentral:snRNA from 1 species